GUGCAGCAGGCGCGAAACCUCCGCAAUGCGCGAAAGCGCGACGGGGUUACCCCGAGUGCCGUCCGCUGGGGACGGCUUUUGCCCAGUGUAGCCAGCUGGGCGAAUAAGGAGAGGGCAAGUCUGGUGUCAGCCGCCGCGGUAAUGCCAGCUCUCCGAGUGGUGGGGACGCUUAUUGGGCCUGAAGCAUCCGUAGCCGGUCUGGCAAGUCCCUUGUUAAAUCCAACGAUUCAAUCGUUGGACUGCAAGGGGAUACUGCCAGACUAGGGGGCGGGAGAGGCCGACGGUAUUCCCGGGGUAGGGGUGAAAUCCUACAAUCCCGGGAGGACCACCAGUGGCGAAGGCUGUCGGCUAGAACGCGCCCGACGGUGAGGGAUGAAAGCUGGGGGAGCGAACCGGAUUAGAUACCCGCGUAGU
rnacentral:rRNA from 1 species